rfam:Lactobacillus acidipiscis strain DSM 15353 Scaffold268, whole genome shotgun sequence.
CGGGAAGUAGCUCAGUUUGGUAGAGCGCCACGUUCGGGACGUGGAGGUCGCAGGUUCGAAUCCUGUUUUCCCGA